rnacentral:lncRNA from 1 species
CUUCAGCAGUCGUUCCUCGAUCCAGUCGUCUGGAGAUCAUGUUGAUGAUUCCAGCAGUAGGUUGAUUAUUCGCUGCCUCUUCAGUCGGUUGGGGUUGUCGGUCGGGAAGGGGCCGAGCUGACGGAUCCCUUCGGAACUUUUCGAGAUAUCCUCAUCGUAUGAGGUCCUCUAUCUCAUCCUUGAGUUGGAUGCAUUGCUCGAUGGUGUGACCGUGGCUCCGAUGGAACCGACAGUAUCUCUUCCGAUUGAGGCCCUUUGCCUUCAAAGGCGGGGGCCGUCGCAGGUAUUCCGCUCCUUCGAUCUCCAUCAGGAUCUGCGCACGUGGAGCGAAAAGAGGGGUGUAGGAGUCAUACCUGCGAUGCGUCGGUCUCGGACUCCGUCGUCGGGGCGACCUCGGGCUCCGUCGUCGGGGCG